UUUUCUUAUUAGAAUUUUGUAUCAGAUUCUGUUUAUCCUUUGAAAUUGAACUGGAAAUCAGUUUUACUUUGCAUAUAACUUAUGAAAAGUAAAAC